rnacentral:rRNA from 1 species
AGUCGAACGGUAACAGGAAGCAGCUUGCUGCUUCGCUGACGAGUGGCGGACGGGUGAGUAAUGUCUGGGAAACUGCCUGAUGGAGGGGGAUAACUACUGGAAACGGUAGCUAAUACCGCAUAACGUCGCAAGACCAAAGAGGGGGACCUUCGGGCCUCUUGCCAUCGGAUGUGCCCAGAUGGGAUUAGCUAGUAGGUGGGGUAACGGCUCACCUAGGCGACGAUCCCUAGCUGGUCUGAGAGGAUGACCAGCCACACUGGAACUGAGACACGGUCCAGACUCCUACGGGAGGCAGCAGUGGGGAAUAUUGCACAAUGGGCGCAAGCCUGAUGCAGCCAUGCCGCGUGUAUGAAGAAGGCCUUCGGGUUGUAAAGUACUUUCAGCGGGGAGGAAGGUGUUGAGGUUAAUAACCUCAGCAAUUGACGUUACCCGCAAAAGAAGCACCGGCUAACUCCGUGCCAGCAGCCGCGGUAAUACGGAGGGUGCAAGCGUUAAUCGGAAUUACUGGGCGUAAAGCGCACGCAGGCGGUCUGUCAAGUCGGAUGUGAAAUCCCCGGGCUCAACCUGGGAACUGCAUUCGAAACUGGCAGGCUAGAGUCUUGUAGAGGGGGGUAGAAUUCCAGGUGUAGCGGUGAAAUGCGUAGAGAUCUGGAGGAAUACCGGUGGCGAAGGCGGCCCCCUGGACAAAGACUGACGCUCAGGUGCGAAAGCGUGGGGAGCACACAGGAUUAGAUACCCUGGUAGUCCACGCCGUAAACGAUGUCGACUUGGAGGUUGUGCCCUUGAGGCGUGGCUUCCGGAGCUAACGCGUUAAGUCGACCGCCUGGGGGAGUACGGCCGCAAGGUUAAAAACUCAAAUGAAUUGACGGGGGCGCCCCGCACAAGCGGGUGGAGCAUGUGGGUUUAAAUUCCGAUGGCAACGCAAAA